rnacentral:rRNA from 1 species
GUGCCAGCCGCCGCGGUAAUACCGGCAGCCCAAGUGAUGGCCGAUCUUAUUGGGCCUAAAGCGUCCGUAGCUGGCCGCGCAAGUCCAUCGGAAAAUCCACCCGCCCAACGGGUGGGCGUCCGGUAGAAACUGGCCGGCUUGGAACCGGAAGGCUCAGAGAGUACGUCCGGGGUAGGAGUGAAAUCCCAUAAUCCCGCACGGACCACCGAUGGCGAAAGCACUUCGAGAAAACGGAUCCGACAGUGAGGGACGAAAGCCAGGGUCUCCAACCGGAUUAGAAACCCCGGUAGUCC